rnacentral:lncRNA from 1 species
CAGGGUAACAAAUGUGAACUACUGAUUAGAACUGGUGGAAAAAGUUGUUUACUGAAACUACAAGGAAGUUAAACUUCAAAGUAGAUAAUUAAAGAAUAAGAGAGUGGGCCGGGCUUGGUGGCUCACACCUGUAAUCCUAGCACUUUGGGAGGCUGAGGCGGGUGGAUCACCUGAGCUUGAGAGUUCGAGACCAACCUGACCAACAUAGAGAAACCCUGUCUCUACUAGAAAUACAAAAAUUGUCCAGGUAUGGUGGCGCAUGCCUGUAAUCCCAGCUACUCGGGAGGCUGAAGCAGGAGAAUCACUUGAACCCAGGAGAUGGAGGUUGCAGUGACCUGAGAUCACGCCAUUGCACUCCAGCUUGGGCCACAAGAGCGAGACUCCAUCUCAAAAAAAAAAGAAUAAGAGAGCUGAACAUACUGACAUACUGAUUCUUUGAAGAGAAACUCAGAGUUCACUACAUCUAAUGAUAGUUUAGUUACAAUUUAGUUUACUAGUCCUACUUCUUGGAACUUACUGAAUGUUUUUUCCUUUUUCUAGCCCAGCAUAGGCUAAUUUUGGUAAGUGAGCACACACAUACACAAAGUGUACUUUCUGCUUUUAGGAAAUAGCGUUGGUAUACAUGAAUAAGCUAUACCAUAUUAAUUGUUACUAAAGGUCUACUAUAGUCUUACCUAUUUUUGUCCACAAGGUCUGUCAUAGGCUGUAUGUGAGGUUUUAGUAGCCCAUGCUGCAUAACAAAGAAAUCUCAAAUCUCAUUGGCUUAAACAGCAAAUCGUAUUUCUUGCUUGUGCAGCAUGAAGACUGCAGGUUGAUUGCUGUUCAGCUGGGGUCUGCUUGAUUCCACCUAGAGAACUCCACAGGUCUUCUCAUUUCAUACCGGAGGCUGAGGAAGAUGUCAAGCUCUGAGUACAUGCCAUUCUCACGGUCUAGGGCUGGAACCAGGGCUACAAUGGGACAUUUUAUGGAUGGCAGUAAUGAAAAUGCAUCAUGUGUGUCUCCUGCUUCAGAAGCAUAACUGACUCGUGGCUCCGCUGCUGUCCUUUGUGACGCACCACCACCUUUAUGCUAAAGACACGCCUCCUGCCAACUCCCCUGAGCCAAUGACUGUGUUCAGAUGCCUGCAUUUACUUGGCAGAUGCUAGUGGAAAGCAGAAAGAGGUGAGGUGUGCUAGAAUGGAUAUAUUAUGUGAAACUUGGACACUAACCAGAGAAGUAUAUUCUAUAGGAAGGCCCAUUCCCUGAAGCAUCAGGCCUCACCUAUGUUCAGUGGUUGCUGUCACAGAGCUGGGUAAUUAUUAUUCAUGAGGAUAGUAAGGCCUCAAAAUGAGAGGCCAAAUGGCCAAACUUAAGCCGUAGAAACC